CGAGAAUAACGAAUUUCAACACCAGAAUGUAUUUCCAACCAAAACGUCGUCUAUUUAUGGAAUUUUUAACACGGUCUGCUAUUUAAAAAUCAAUAGUGGGUACCGGGCUCGUCCCUAAAAAUAACCGUGAUCUAGUAAUGUAACAUUUUAGAGCUAUUCGUUUUAAAAGUUGUUUCGGAAAAAAAAUAAAUACGUAUUUUCCGGAAUAAUGAGUAUCCUCCUAUUGGCUGUAUUACACCGUAAAUAGAUGUACAUUGAGAAAAAAAAAAGAAAAGGUUUUUCCAACGUCUUCGGAACCUCGUGGCUCAUCUGUUAUGAAAACGCAGGUGGCGGGUGUACAUUUUUAAUUUUUCGUAACGCAC